AAGAGAGAGAGAGAGUAAGGAAAAUCUAAAUAAUGUUGGCAUUAGCUAUCAUUUUUGCAAGCUCAUUGAGAUAAGUUUGUGGCUAAUAUGGAUAAAACUUUUCUUAUGUUGAUUCAAUGGUGUAGACAUGUAUGAAUAUGAGCAAUUCUUCUUUUACUUUUUGUUGGUCAGGUAUUAGUUUUUUAAAACUUAGCGUUCUAA
rnacentral:lncRNA from 1 species